rnacentral:rRNA from 1 species
AUUGAACGCUGGCGGCAGGCUUAACACAUGCAAGUCGAGCGGGGUGAUGGUGCUUGCACUAUCACUUAGCGGCGGACGGGUGAGUAAUGCUUAGGAAUCUGCCUAUUAGUGGGGGACAACAUCUCGAAAGGGAUGCUAAUACCGCAUACGUCCUAAGGGAGAAAGCAGGGGAUCACUUGUGACCUUGCGCUAAUAGAUGAGCCUAAGUCGGAUUAGCUAGUUGGUGGGGUAAAGGCCUACCAAGGCGACGAUCUGUAGCGGGUCUGAGAGGAGGAUCCGCAACCCUGAGAGUGAGACACGGCCCAGACUCCUACGGGAGGCAGCAGUUGGGAAUAUUGGACAAUGGGGGGAACCCUGAUCUAGCCAUGCCGCGUGUGUUAAGAAUGCCUUAUGGUUGUAAAGCACUUUAAGCGAGGAGGAGGCUCUUUUGGUUAAUACCCAAGAUGAUUGGACGUUACUCGAAGAAUAAGCACCGGCUAACUCUGUGCCAGCAGCCGCCGUAA